UGCAGUCGAGCGGACAGAAGGGAGCUUGCUCCCGGAUGUUAGCGGCGGACGGGUGAGUAACACGUGGGUAACCUGCCUGUAAGACUGGGAUAACUCCGGGAAACCGGAGCUAAUACCGGAUAGUUCCUUGAACCGCAUGGUUCAAGGAUGAAAGACGGUUUCGGCUGUCACUUACAGAUGGACCCGCGGCGCAUUAGCUAGUUGGUGAGGUAACGGCUCACCAAGGCGACGAUGCGUAUCCGACCUGAGAGGGUGAUCGGCCACACUGGGACUGAGACCGGCCCACACUCCUACGGGAGGCAGCCGUAUGGAAUCUUCCCCAAUGGACUAAAGUCUGAC
rnacentral:rRNA from 1 species